UGGGAAUCAAAUAGUGAGAUUUAAAAAAA
rnacentral:piRNA from 1 species